CUGAAACAUUUUCAAAAAUUUAUAGUGGUAAAUGCAUUUGUUACUAACAUAAAGGUUAAGAUGAGAGUCACAAAUUUGGGGUGAAGACAAAAAGUCCCAGAAGAGUCCGUACGAACACUCACCUGCACCCUAAGGUAAUGUUACCAUCAACGGUACAGAAAAGGACAUAGGAGAGGGACCACAGAGAGAAUUUUUUUUGAGGCUUUUUACAAUCGGAAGAGGACUACAUAAAGACACAAAGAGGCAUGUUAAGGAGGUAGCCGAAAAAACCUAAUUUUUUAGAAGAGCCGCUACUGUUCACUAACAAGGAAGGAAGAGCUCGGCGAAAUCAAAAAGCAUAGGACGAACGGGAGCUCACAACAGACGAACAAGAAGAAAGAAAACGUCGGGCGAAACGCUUACCUACAUCUGUCGGUCAAUCUCGCCGCAACUGCAUUAGCAGCUUUCGUGAGAAAAAUCAUAUCUUGAGCUAGGAGUAUCGGAUUGAGACGUGUUACCAGUCGAUGGAAAGUUAAGAAAAAUAUCUACAACUUUUGUUCAGAAGUCGAGAGCUGAAUCAGACUGUAGCAGGGUCAGAAAUUUCGUUGAAGCUGCUGCAUUAUUUUUAUAUUUUGUUUGGGUUAGUUGUAUUGGGCCCGGAUCGUACAUUUGACCCGGUUGAGUUGUGAAACGGGUUUGGGUGUUUUUACCUAGGUUAGGCAGCCAAAAACAGUGUUACGUUUUUCUGUUCAUGUACGAUUUUUUUGAGAGCUAGCAAGAUGACUAUGGAGAACUAAUCCCUUUUGAAUCAACCUGCUGUAAUUCAGAAUCCGCUUUGAGGUUUUUAUUAAUUCCAAUUUGUUUCCUUUGAAUUCU